UUGGAGGGCAAGUCUGGUGCCAGCAGCCGCGGUAAUUCCAGCUCCAAUAGCGUAUAUUAAAGUUGUUGCAGUUAAAAAGCUCGUAGUUGAAUUUCGGGAUCAAUGUUUCGGUCAUGCCGUUGGUAUGUACUGAUAUUAUUGAUUUCUCACCUUCUAAAGAACCGUAAUGCCAUUAAUUUGGUGUCACGGGGAAUUAGGACUGUUACCUUGAAAAAAUUGAGUGUUUAAAGCAGGCUCACGCUUGAAUACAUUAGCAUGGAAAUUA
rnacentral:rRNA from 1 species